rnacentral:rRNA from 1 species
CGCGCAGGCGGUCGUUCAAGUCGAGUGUGAAAGCCCCCGGCUCAACUGGGGAGGGUCAUUCGAUACUGAUCGACUCGAAGGCAGGAGAGGGAAGCGGAAUUCCCGGUGUAGUGGUGAAAUGCGUAGAUAUCGGGAGGAACACCAGUGGCGAAGGCGGCCUCCUGGCCUGUUCUUGACGCUGAGGCGCGAAAGCUAGGGGAGCAAACG